AGUAGCGUGGCCGAGCGAUCUAAGGCACUGGAUUAAGGCUCCAGUCUCUUCGGGGGGCUGUGGGUUCAAAUCCCACCGCUGCCA